rnacentral:rRNA from 1 species
UUUUGACUGUGCAAAGGUAGCAUAAUUAUUAGUUUUUUAAUUGGAAACUGGAAUGAAUGGUUGGACGAGAAAGAUUCUGUCUCUAUUUUANUUUAAUUAGAAAUUUAUUUUUAAGUUAAAAAGCUUAAAUAUAUUUAAAAGACGAGAAGACCCUAUAGAGUUUUAUAUAUAUAUAAUAUUAAAAUAUAAAGUAUUAAGUUUUUAAUAUUAUAAGUAUAUUUAGUUGGGGUGAUUUAAAAAUUUAAUUAACUUUUUAUUUAUAAAAACAUUAAUUUAUGAAUAUAUGAUCCAUUAUUUAUGAUAAAAGAU